rnacentral:rRNA from 1 species
GACGUAGGGCGCGAGCGUUGUCCGGAUUUAUUGGGCGUAAAGAGCUCGUAGGCGGCUUGUCGCGUCGUUCGUGAAAACCCGGGGCUCAACUCCGGGCUUGCGGGCGAUACGGGCAGGCUAGAGUUCGGUAGGGGAGACUGGAAUUCCUGGUGUAGCGGUGAAAUGCGCAGAUAUCAGGAGGAACACCGGUGGCGAAGGCGGAUCUCUGGGCCAUUACUGACGCUGAGGAGCGAAAGCGUGGGGAGCGAACAGG